rfam:Triticum aestivum genome assembly, contig: Triticum_aestivum_CS42_TGACv1_scaffold_224525_3B
AUUGUACUCCCUCCGUUCCGAAUUACUUGUCUUAGAUUUGUGUAGAUACAGAUGUAUCUAGCACUAAAAUGAGUCUAGAUACAUCCGUAUCUAAACAAAUUCAAGACAAGUAAUUGGGAACAGAGGGAGUACUCC